UACGUAGGGAGCAAGCGUUGUCCGGAAUCAUUGGGCGUAAAGCGCGCGUAGGUGGCUUCGUAAGUCCGUUGUGAAAGUCAAAGGCUCAACCUUUGAAAGCCGAUGGAUACUGUGGAGCUAGAGUACGGAAGAGGCGAGUGGAAUUCCUGGUGUAGCGGUGGAAUGCGCAGAUAUCAAGGAGGAACACCAAUAGCGAAGGCAGCUCGCUGGGACGUACUGACACUGAGGCGCGAAAGCGUGGGGAGCGA
rnacentral:rRNA from 1 species